CGACACCUCUAUAGACGUUACUGUUUGGUCUGAGCUUCGAUUUGUUGCCUGUGCGGUCAUACCUUCGUAGGUAUCACAUAUGUGUUGCUCUUUCGUGCUUGCUCUGUUGAUGCUAUGUGGGGCGCGAGUGUUGGCAAAUUCCAUGCGCUGCGAGCACUUUGUGUGUCGGAAAUGCUUAUUGGAUGUUUGUCGGGUCUCACGGAUAUCAGUCCCUAUGUUGAGCGGUCUGCUGGCUUCGACCUCGCAGGCUCAUGGUGUUGCCCAUACAAAUAAAUUUGCUGCGGAUGUUUCAUGGACAUGUUGUGCCCUGUUGGGAUUCAUGUUGAGGGAUCGCUCGCCGCAUGUUUGUGUGUAUGUGCAUAUCCUUACCGACCCUAAAUGAUAUGCGAUUGCUGGUCUGCAUUGUCACAGGGAG
rnacentral:misc_RNA from 1 species